UGUCGACCUCAGAUCAGACGAGAUCACCCGCUAAAUUUAAGCAUAUCAAUAAGCGGUGGAAAAGAAACGAAAACGAAUUCUCCGAGUAGCGGCGAGCGAAACGAGAGCAGUCCAUACACCGAAGUCGGCGAGCAGUUGUGUUCGUCAACAGUGUGGUGUUAAAGGUGUCGUUGCAUGUGCUGAAAUCGGUUCGUAGGCUCCCUUGAUUGGGGCUUCAGAGCGGGUGCAGGACCCAUAACGAACGAUGUUUUGUGCAUGGUGUCGCGGCUCCUAAUCGAGUCGGGUUGCUUGAGACUGCAGCCCAAAGCGGGUGGUAAAUCUCACCCAAGACUAAAUAUUCGUACGAGACCGAUAGCGAACAAGUACCGCGAGGGAAAGUUGAAAAGAACUCUGAAGAGAGAGUUCAACAGGACGUGAAACCGUUGACAGGCAAACGGAUGGAGCUGACGGUGCAAUUUUGACCAAAAUCAGUCGUCGCUGUGUUCGUUGGCGAAUGAAUCUUUUGCAAACUUGUUUGUGUAGAUUAUCUUUCGUUUCGAAUGUACGCACGGUGCACUUUUGGUCGAUUAGCGUCACGAGCAACGUUCGCAUUUUUUGCUGCCGACAGUAAUUGUGUUUGUUGUUUUAAAAGCAACAAACAAUAAAGGCGGUUUGUGGAAGAGGUAAUUGUGGUAAAGACUUGUGCUUUUGUCUCAAUUGCCGUGCCAAUGCCGCAUCUGUCGGAUGAAUGUUGUUGUUGACAAGUUGAAGAGCAUUGUUCUGCGUACAAUUGUAAUGGGUCUGUUGGUGCCGUUGCGUUCGUGGGUUUCGGCUCACGAUUUGUCUGGUACGUCGGGAAAAAAGUCAAUUAUGAAUGUAAUUGAUCUGGCUACCGUGCGUAACGGUAUUCAAAUGUGUGUAUGAUGGACUUUAUUUGCAAUCGGCGCUCAAUGUGUUUUCUUUUAUCGGUGGCGUCAAUGUUAGCCUCCCAUCCGACCCGUCUUGAAACACGGACCAAGGAGUUCAGUAGGCACGCGAGUCGUUGACGUUUUUCAUUGAACAGUCGAAGGCGAAAUGAAAGUGUUCAUGAAAAUGAACAGUACUUUUCUAUGGAGUGCUGCUCGUUUUCAACAUGAUCGUCCUUUUUUGUGCUUAAUUGUGCAAAAUUGAUAGAUGGCACUGUUCUUUCUUUCUCUUCGGGGUUGGAGGAACAAUUGUCGAUCAGUCGGUUUCGGAGCGUGCACACUGGUACCCGAAAGAUGGUGAACUAUGCUUGAGCAGAAUGAAGCCAGAGGAAACUCUGGUGGAAGUUCGUAGCGGUGUUGACGUGCAAAUCACUCGUCUGACUUGAGUGUAGGGGCGAAAGACUAAUCGAACCAUCUAGUUGCUGGUUCCUUCCGAAGUUUCCCUCAGGAUAGCUGGCAUUUGUUUGUAACAAUUUUAUCCGGUAGAGCGAAUGAUUAGAGGUGUUGGGAACGCAAUGUUCUCAGCCUAUUCUCAAACUUCGAAUGGGUAAGCAAGGCGUUUUGCUUUGAUUUUACGAUGAAAUCGCCCAAUUAGAAUGCAUAAAUGCCUAGUGGGCCAAUUUUGGUAAGCAGAACUGGCGAUGUGGAAUGAACCAAAAGUCAGGUUAAGGUGCCAGACAUUGGCGCUCAUGAAAUACCAGAAAAGGUGUUGGUCGAUAUAGACAGCAGGACGGUGGCCAUGGAAGUUGGAAUCCGCCAAGGAGUGUGUAACAACUCACCUGCCGAAUCGACUAGCCCUGAAAAUGGAUAGCGUUUGAGCGCCAGGCCCAUACCUGACCGUCUCAAUUACGCACUUUUUUCUUUUUUGAAAAAGGUGUAAUGAACGUUGAGACGGGUAGGAAGGUCGCGACAGUGUUGCUUUGAAGAGUUUUGAGCGUGAGCUCGCUCGGAGCCGCUGUUGGUGCAGAUCUUGGUGGUAGUAGCAAAUAUUCAAGUGAGAACCUUGAAGGCUGAAGUGGAGCAAGGUUCCAUGUGAACAGCAGUUGGACAUGGGUCAGUCGAUCCUAAGAAAACGGCGAAAGCUUGUUCGAAUUUGCGACAUGAAUUGUAAGACUGUGUGUGUUUAUUGUGUGUGCGUGUGCAGUUGUCGUAUGUUUUCGAAAGGGAAUCCGGUUGAUAUUCCGGAACCGAGUAACGGAGACAAAGAGUAGCGCUUUAAUCUCUCUGUGGGGUUGGCGUUCAACUCAAUCGCGCGGUAACGCAAGCGAACUCGGAAAAUGACCGUCGUGAGUUUCGAAAAGAGUUUUCUUUUCUUUUUAAGGGACGCAUUCCCUGGAACCGGGUUGUCCGGAGAUAGGGAUUCUGGUAUCCAUAAAACGCCGACUUUUUCACGGUGUUCGGAGCGCUCUCGUCGGUACGUGAAAAUCCGAGCGACGCCUGGUAAAUCUCGUACUUGGUCGUACUGAUAUCCGCAGCAGGUCUCCAAGGUGAAUAGCCUCUGGCCGAUAGAAUAAUGUAGGUAAGGGAAGUCGGCAAAACGGAUCCGUAACUUCGGAACAAGGAUUGGCUCUAAGGGCUGGGCCGAUCGGGCUGAGGUUUCAAGCGUGCAGUGUAUGCUUGGCUGAGUUGUGUUGAGGACUUGUUCACUUGCCGCCGUUUGUUCGGUUGGUCUAGUGUAUUCGAGUCUGAAGCAGAGCUGGCCGACAGACCGGCACGUGCAGAACCUGAGCUGCGCGGCUGUCCGUUUACGUGUACAGACCGUUUCGGUCGGCAUUCAACAGCCAACUUAGAACUGGCACGGACACAAGGAAUCUGACUGUAUAAUUAAAACAAAGCAUUGCGAUGGCCGAUGAUCGGUGAUGACGCAAUGUGAUUUCUGCCCAGUGCUCUGAAUGUCAAAGUGAAGAAAUUCAAUCAAGCGCGGGUAAACGGCGGGAGUAACUAUGACUCUCUUAAGGUAGCCAAAUGCCUCGUCAUCUAAUUAGUGACGCGUAUGAAUGGAUCAACAAGAUUCCUUCUGUCCCUAUCUACUAUCUAGCGAAACCACAGCCAAGGGAACGGGCUUGGCAAAAUCAGCGGGGAAAGAAGACCCUGUUGAGCUUGACUCUAGUCUGACUCUGUGAAGAGACAUGAAAGGUGUAGCAUAGGUGGGAGAUU
rnacentral:rRNA from 1 species